UCGGGAAUUUUGGGCAAUGGGCGAAAGCCUGAUGGAGCGACGUCGCGUGAUGGACGAAGUGCUUCGGCACGUAAACAUCUUUUAUGUGGGAUGAAAUUAUUGACAGUACCACAUGAAUAAGGGGCUCCUAACUCUGUGCCAGCAGGAGCGGUAAUACAGAGGCCCCAAGCGUUAUCCGGAAUCACUGGGCGUAAAGGGUGUCGAGGCGGUUGUAUUAGUCGUUCGUAAAAUCUACGAGCUUAACUUGUAGGCGGCGAACGAAACGGUACGACUUGAGGUUUGGAGAGGUGCGUGGAACUCACGGUGUAGGGGUGAAAUCCGUUGAUAUCGUGGGGAACACCAAAGGCGAAGGCAGCGCACUGGUCAAAAUCUGACGCUCACACACGAAAGCUAGGGUAGCGAAGAGGAUUAGAUACCCUGGUAGUCCCUGAGCGGGCUGGCAAGGCGCAU
rnacentral:rRNA from 1 species